AACUCAAGUAACAAGGGAGGAAAACUGAGCGAGAACUUCUCAGAGCUAAAAAAAGGAAGUGGAGCAUCCUUGGCACAGACAAGUUCAGAGUCUCUGUUGGAUCCUCAGCAAAUCCAAGCUUUUGACCAACUCUGCCGACUCAACCAAGGAGCCUCCAGACUAGCUCUCCUGACAGAGCUGUCUCGAGGCCACGGCGGGGAGAAGCAUGGGCUGCUCAGCAUUUCCCACGGUGACUCGACCACCAGCAGUGUCUUCCAGAACGAGAACUUCCAGCUCCGCCUGGCCCCCCCUCCACUGGCUGAAGACUAGCGCU